GACGAACGCUGGCGGCGUGCUUAACACAUGCAAGUCGAACGGUGAAGCGCCUUCCUUUUUGGUGGGUGUGGAUGAGUGGCGAACGGGUGAGUAACACGUGAGUAACCUGCCCCCUUCUUCUGGAUAACCGCAUGAAAGUGUGGCUAAUACGGGAUAUUCUGGGUCUGUCGCAUGAUGGGUCUGGGAAAGAUAUUGUUUCGGUGGGGGAUGGGCUCGCGGCCUAUCAGCUUGUUGGUGGGGUGAUGGCCUACCAAGGCGGUGACGGGUAGCCGGCCUGAGAGGGUGGACGGUCACACUGGGACUGAGACACGGCCCAGACUCCUACGGGAGGCAGCAGUGGGGAAUAUUGCACAAUGGGCGCAAGCCUGAUGCAGCGACGCCGCGUGAGGGAUGGAGGCCUGCGGGUUGUGAACCUCUUUCGCCAGUGAAGCAGGCCUGCCUCGUUUGUGGGUGGGUUGACGGUAGCUUGAUAAGAAGCGCCGGCUAACUACGUG
rnacentral:rRNA from 1 species